GGAAACAGAAAGUUUUGUUUGUCAAAGUCACACAGAUUGCCAAAGAGAAAAUAAUUUGUAUUUUUUGGUGAGAAAGUACCUGUGUCCUCCAAAUUGCAACUUGAUGCAACUUUUCAAUAUUGUCGAAUGCGUUGAGGGUGAAGGUUCAGUGCAUAAUACCUCCUUUUCCAUCUCCACCAUCUCUGGCCAGCAAGCAAUUCUAAUUAAGGAAAAAGACAUUUGGAUUGACACGAGACAAGCGAAGCGACUGUGUAAUCGGAGCAGUUGCUGACCAACCCGGCAACCCACCAACCAACCAACCAACCAGCCCACCAACCCAACCAAACAACCGAUGAAUCCCCCCUCGCUGUGCAGCAAAUUGCAUAGAAUAAAUUUUCAUUAAACGCCACUGACUUGUGAGUCUCUGUCUCCGAGUCUCAGUCGGCACGUCGAUGUAAAAUGUCAGGACAUACAAAACGGAGGGCGCGGCCUUAAUGGGUCAUCGGCCCUACAAGCACAAUGAAGAUGGAACUGAAAUUCGAGUUCGAGUUCCUUUUGCCCUGUCCAUUUUCAUAAUUUUUAAUUAUUUUUAAUUUAAUUGUCGCGCCUCGCGUGCUCUUCGCAAACAACUGAGACACUGUCUCUGACUCAGUCGGGGAUUGAUGAUUGAAGACAGUCCAGUAAGUUAGUCCAGUGAUGGGUUGGACAAGUGGUACGAGGGUAUGAAGUGGGGGAGGUCAAAAAUUCUGGAGGGAGGGCGCAAUAAAAUUUGUCUACAUUGGAA